rnacentral:rRNA from 1 species
GACGAACGCUGGCGGCGUGCCUAAUACAUGCAAGUCGAACGAGAGCGCCCGGUGCUUGCACUGGUCAAUCUAGUGGCGAACGGGUGAGUAACACGUGGGUAACCUGCCCAUCAGAGGGGGAUAACAUUCGGAAACGGAUGCUAAAACCGCAUAGGUCCUUUAACCGCAUGGUUGAAGGAGGAAAAGAGGCGCAAGCUUCUGCUGAUGGAUGGACCCGCGGUGCAUUAGCUAGUUGGUGAGGUAACGGCUCACCAAGGCCGUGAUGCAUAGCCGACCUGAGAGGGUGAUCGGCCACAUUGGGACUGAGACACGGCCCAAACUCCUACGGGAGGCAGCAGUAGGGAAUCUUCCGCAAUGGACGCAAGUCUGACGGAGCAACGCCGCGUGAGUGAAGAAGGUUUUCGGAUCGUAAAACUCUGUUGUUAGAGAAGAACAAGUGCUAGAGUAACUGUUAGCGCCUUGACGGUAUCUAACCAGAAAGCCACGGCUAACUACGUG